AAUUUUCGAAGCAUGAUGGGCGAAACUCAAAAAUACGUAAAUUUUACAUAGGAAGUUGCUAUGGGAUGAGGGACCCUGGGCGAUGGCCCGGGUUCGCCCGGCCCAGUUCCACUAUUGCUUGUUAUUAAACUUGUUUUGUUCGUAUUUUAUUUAGUAGUCAGGUACAUUCUUCCUAUCAUCUCUUUGAACCUGACGUCAUCUCCUUUCGAUGAAAUCUUCUCGUACCACCCUAAUUUUAGUAACUGCAAUAAUAAUUUAACCAAUUUAAAAAUUAAUAAAACAAAACAAGACUGUCAAACCCUCUAAAGUCAACCUCUACAUGAUAAGUAAUGUUCAAAACUAUAUAUACGGAUACAAUUUUAUUCCUAACUAAGCUUUUAGGCACAAAGUGCCAACACAAGAACAACAACAUCGAUCAUGAAGUUUCAAUUUUGUUCCUAAUUACACUUUAAGCACCAACUCUAUUCUUAAAACACAACUCAAGCAAAAAUUUACAACAUUGACCACAAACAAAAACCAUUGAUCCAACAGGCAAAAAUCAUUGAUCUACCAUCGCAUAAUCAAAACUAAUUCUGGAAAUCACAAUGUAGCAACAUUUAACUGUAAGACAAAUUGUAUAUGUAUGAAAAUCAAGUUAACACUAAAUCAAACGCGAAUCGGCAAGAGUUUUUACCGCUGGAAAAAACUGAAUCAAUCGAAAAUCUGGGAGAACUAGUUCGAAAGCAUUGGAAUCGAUAAAAUGGAACGAAAACAAAUCUUUUCUCUUGAAUCAGACGACUGCAUGUUGUUUUCGCCCGUUGAUUCAGAUCUUCUUCGAGAUCGAUUGGUCGUUGCAGUAGUGGUCGUCGACUGUUAUUCGGGGAAUAGGGGUCGGUCGUGGCGGCAUCCACUCCUCGACGAUGGCGACUUCUGAGGAGGAUUCGGUGAAUCUCGACAGACGGCGACUCCGAUUGAUUUUGGGUGGUUGGCGACGAGGAUAGAGGUGCUGAUGAAGUUGGGGAUGUCGACGGAAGGUGGUCUUGGCGGCUACCAAAGCUGUACUUGCCGACAUCGUCAAUCGUCGCCGUCAGGAGCCCAAACAAACGAGAAAGAUGGAAGAGGGUUUGUUUUUGGGAGGUUGUGGAGAUCCAAAAAAAUUUGGGGGAAUAAUUUUUGUAAAUCUGCCGCAAAUCUGGCAAUGGUUUUGGAUUUAAUUUCAAGUUCCAAAAAUUAUUUGG
rnacentral:lncRNA from 1 species